rnacentral:lncRNA from 1 species
ACCUCGCUGUGCAAAAUGCACGGUAAGUGAAUUCUGCCCGUCGGCAUUUAAGGAGAUAUCAAGCCCAGCUUCCACUUCCAGAACACUAAGCCCCAAGAAGAAACAUUGACAAGGUUGUUUGCUGCUACGUGAUCAUAUUUUUCAAGUUCUGUUCUUCUAAUGUAAAAAGAAAUUUGUAUUAAUUGUAAAAAAAUUGAGUGUAAUUUCUUGUACUUUUUUUUUUUUAAUUUUGUAUUAAUGUUGGCCUAGGAUGAAUUGAAAUGGAAAACAUGGUGAUUGAGGAUUGAUAUAUCAUAACAAACAAAAAACUUCAAUAUCAAAAACUCAUGCUGUAUUCCACUCCCAAACACACACACAAAGAAAAAACAGAUUUUUAUCAAAUAUCAAAACCCCAUUUUUAUUCACACAGCAGUGUCUGUUUUAAAAAAAAAACAUUCCCCCAAUUUCAUCCAUCAAAACCCUAACUCAAAAAUUUCCAAAAUUGAUAUUAAAGACUAAGAAAUUUACCUGAAAGUUCAAGAGAUUUGACAGAGAAACUGGGAAAAUUUAGCGCAAAUCUCAGGUACAAACAUAACUCACAGGCCAACAAAUGUCAACCAAAAAGCAUGGAUUAAAAGCUAGAAACUAAGGAGCAAAGUUGAUACAGAGCAAUAAUCGAGCAAAAUAACUUUGAAUUAAACUCAAAUCUGAACUUCAGAAAGGAAUUUUUACCUGAUUUCGAAUUGGUCUUGUUAUGGAUCGUUUCUCUGAUGCCUUUUCUUGUGUGCGCUUUG